GACGAACGCUGGCGGCGUGCUUAACACAUGCAAGUCGAACGGAAAGGCCUCUUUCGGGGGGUACUCGAGUGGCGAACGGGUGAGUAACACGUGAGUAACCUGCCCUUGACUUUGGGAUAACUUCAGGAAACUGGGGCUAAUACCGGAUAGGAGCUCCUGCUGCAUGGUGGGGGUUGGAAAGUUUCGGCGGUUGGGGAUGGACUCGCGGCUUAUCAGCUUGUUGGUGGGGUAGUGGCUUACCAAGGCUUUGACGGGUAGCCGGCCUGAGAGGGUGACCGGCCACAUUGGGACUGAGAUACGGCCCAGACUCCUACGGGAGGCAGCAGUGGGGAAUAUUGCGCAAUGGGUGGAAGCCUGAUGCAGCAACGCCGUGUGCGGGAUGACGGCCUUCGGGUUGUAAACCGCUUUCGCUCAUGACGAAGCUUUGUGUGACGGUAGUGGGUAAAGAAGCACCGGCUAACUACGUG
rnacentral:rRNA from 1 species